rnacentral:rRNA from 1 species
UACGUAGGGUGCAAGCGUUAAUCGGAAUUACUGGGCGUAAAGCGUGCGCAGGCGGUUGUGCAAGACAGAUGUGAAAUCCCCGGGCUUAACCUGGAGCCGCCACUCGAUACUGUCAUGACUAGAAUUCGGUAGGGGACCACGGAAUUCCUGGUGUAGCGGUGAAAUGCGCAGAUAUCAGGAGGAACACCAGCAGCGAAGGCGGUGGUCUGGGCCGACAUUGACGCUGAGGAGCGAAAGCGUGGGGAGCGAACAGG